UUGUUGUUUAAAUAAGAAAAUCUUCCCAUAUUGCAUAAUGGGAGGAGAAUAUCUGUUAUUUUGUUGUCUAUGCAUGAAUAUGAUGGGAAGGGAAACAUCACUUCUCUCCUGAGUUUUCUCCCUUAUUGUGUUUUCUCCCUCUGUGUUGUAUCCCUCAAUUUUCUCUUUCUCCAUCUUUCUCUUCUGAAUCUUCUUCUCUUUUCCUUUUAUUCUUUUUGUUUCUUCCUUCAUGCAGGCGAUUCCAGCUCCAUGCCUGCAAGUUGCUGAGGACGAGUUUUUACCGCAACACAUUGACCUUAGGUAUUUCCUUCUUUUUCCUUUUUUUUUUCUUUCACGACAGCUUGGUAUCUAUUGUUUUUAACCUUCAUUUUCUCUGCGAGUAUUUUCCGCUAUGGCCGAAGAAUUUGUGAAUGUCUUUGUUCAUCAAAACAACAUCGCUGUUCAGAUUCAAAAUAGGAAGUAAAUUAAGUGACUGAUGAAAUUUCCAAAAUAGGUACUUGCAUACAAAGAAAAUUGGUACUUCCAUGAGGGUCACAGAUGAUUAAAGUUCAAUUUCAUUAUUUAAUCUCUUAUUCUCUUUCAGGGAGAUUCACCAGCAUAGAUACAGAUUUAAAUGUCUUGAAGAAGAGGAUAGAGACGCUGCAUUUGUAAUAACCUUGAGUUCUUUUGAUAAAAUUUAUGUUCAUAAACCUUGGACGGGUUGCUAGUGUUCUUUUUCCUAUUACUUUAUUCUUUGAAAUUAAUGUUACUAUUAUUCAAUA